CGGCGGAGGGUGAGUAAUGCCUAGGAAUCUGCCCGAUAGUGGGGGACAACGUUUCGAAAGGAACGCUAAUACCGCAUACGUCCUACGGGAGAAAGCAGGGGACCUUCGGGCCUUGCGUUAUCGGAUGAGCCUAGGUCGGAUUAGCUAGUUGGUGAGGUAAUGGCUCACCAAGGCGACGAUCCGUAACUGGUCUGAGAGGAUGAUCAGUCACACUGGAACUGAGACACGGUCCAGACACCUACGGGAGGCAGCAGUGGGGAAUAUUGGACAAUGGGCGAAAGCCUGAUCCAGCCAUGCCGCGUGUGUGAAGAAGGUCUUCGGAUUGUAAAGCACUUUAAGUUGGGAGGAAGGGCAGUCAGUUAAUACCUUGCUGUCUUGACGUUACCAACAGAAUAAGCACCGGCUAACUUCGUGCCAGCAGCCGCGGUAAUACGAAGGGUGCAAGCGUUAAUCGGAAUUACUGGGCGUAAAGCGCGCGUAGGUGGUUCAGCAANUUGGAUGUGAAAGCCCCGGGCUCAACCUGGGAACUGCAUCCAAAACUACUGAGCUAGAGUACGGUAGAGGGUGGUGGAAUUUCCUGUGUAGCGGUGAAAUGCGUAUGAUAUAGGAAGGAACACCAGUGGCUGAAGGCGACCACCUGGACUGAUNCUGACACUGAGGUGCGGAAAGCGUGGGUGAGCAAACAGGAUUAGAUACCCUGGUUAUUCCACGCCGUAAACGAUGUCUAACUAGUUGUUGGGGUUCCUUGAGAACUUAGUAAACGAAGGCUAACCGCGAUAAAGUUGAACCCGCCUGGGGAGUACUGGCCUCCAAGGUUUAAAAACUUCAAAUUGAAUUGC
rnacentral:rRNA from 1 species